GCUCUUCCAAUAUCAAUAAAAUACAGCUAUAAUAACCAUGCUAUUAUAGAAAUUCUAUAUAGCUAUGACGAUAAAUAGUCAACGAAAUAAACUUAUUGGACCCGGGGGCGGUACCCGGCGCCUCCACCAUUAGAGACGCAUUAAUCAUUAUGACGGUAUAUGAUUCAUAAUGAAUGAUUGAGGGGGCGAAAUAGGAUAGACAAAAGCAUAAAGGUUGGGUGUUCGUUCGGUAUGGUACCACCGUUAUCGGGCUAAAAAUGUAGUUGCAAAUGACAACAACAGUAGAGUAAAUCUCGCUGCCGCUUCUUAGUCGGUGUGAUUUCUCAUUUUAACUCCUGAUGGGACACUAUCAGGCGGGGUUUGGAGGCACCUGGCAACAGAAGCCUCCAUA
rfam:Candidatus Liberibacter africanus PTSAPSY, complete genome.